AAGGUUGUUUAGCCUGGGCCUACCUGUUCAUAAUCUCUUAUCGUAGCCUAAACAUAGUGAAGAGAUGGAGAAUACAAACCUCUUUACCGAAUCUUUCCAGUUCAUCCAAUAUUUUUAAGUAUGGCACAACCAGGCUUAACAUGGCAAGAGAUCUUGGACAUUAAGCUUUUGCAGGAGAGAGUUUGGCUAGAGGAGAGAAUGGAACAGGUACGCUGCCUCAUAGCUAAAGAGGUGGAAUGGAGGAUGAUGACUUUUCAUGAGCAGUGGAAACCAGAGGAGAAGAAGAUGAUGGUAGCAAGAAAUGAUGACAAGAAAAUGGAGAAAUGGAUAGACAUGGCAAUAUCAAGAUUUGCUGAAAUUGAGAAAAGAAAAUGGGAGGAGAGGAGGAUCAGAGAGGAAGAAAGACAAAUGGAGGAGGGGUGGAAAAAGAUCGAAGCAGAGAGAAGCAAAGUGAAAGACAAAACAUGGAAGAAAAAAACAAAAGAGAGAGAAGAAAACCAGAUAGAGAAUGAAGAGAUGGAGAGGGAGCAGGAUGCAAUAAGAAAUAAGGCUCUUGGAGAGGAAAGGGAAAGCAUAGAAGAAGAGAGAAUGAAACUGACAGAGGAGAAGAGGCAGGUAGAAGAAAUCAAGGCUCAAGUUGACCAAGCUAGACUGGAACUAGAAGCACUAAAACUGGCUGAGGCUGAACAAAGAGAGAGAGAAUAUGUGAACAGAAAGAAAGAGCUUGAGGAUGAGAAAAGAAAGACUGAUGUGGAAAGAGAGAGAGUGAGGGAAGAUAUUGAAAAAGGCCUGAA